rnacentral:rRNA from 1 species
GGGGUAAAUGCCCACCAAGGCGACGAUUGGUAGCCGGACUGAGAGGUUGAACGGCCACAUUGGGACUGAGACACGGCCCAGACUCCUACGGGAGGCAGCAGUGGGGAAUAUUGGGCAAUGGGGGAAACCCUGACCCAGCAACGCCGCGUGAAGGAAGAAGGCCUUCGGGUUGUAAACUUCUUUUGACAGGGACGAAACAAAUGACGGUACCUGUCGAAUAAGCCACGGCUAACUAC